UUAGGAAUUUUGCGCAAUGGGCGAAAGCCUGACGCAGCAACGCCGCGUGAGGGAUGAAGGCCUUCGGGUUGUAAACCUCUUUUAGCUGGGAAGAAAAAAAUGACGGUACCAGCAGAAAAAGCACCGGCUAACUCUGUGCCAGCAGCCGCGGUAAUACAGAGGGUGCAAGCGUUAUUCGGAUUUAUUGGGCGUAAAGCGCGUGUAGGUUGUUCGUUAAGUCUGAUGUGAAAGCCCUGGACUCAAUUCAGGAAGUGCAUUGGAUACUGGCGGACUAGAGUGCAGGAGAGGAAGGCGGAAUUCCAGGAGUAGAGGUGAAAUUCGUAGAUAUCUGGAGGAACAACAGUGGCGAAGGCGGCCUUCUGGACUGUAACUGACACUAAGACGCGAAAGCGUGGGGAGCAAACAGG
rnacentral:rRNA from 1 species